CAAUAGCGUAUAUUUAAGUUGUUGCAGUUAAAAAGCUCGUAGUUGGAUUUCGGAUGGGGACGACCGGUCCGCCGUUUGGUGUGCACUGGUCGUGCCUAUCUUGCUGCCGGGGACGCGCUCCUGGCCUUAAUUGGCUGGGACGCGGAGUCGGCGAUGUUACUUUGAAAAAAUUAGAGUGUUCAAAGCAGGCCUAAGCUCUGAAUACAUUAGCAUGGAAUAACGCUAUAGGACUCUGGUCUUAUUGCGUUGGUCUUCGAGACCGGAGUAAUGAUUAAGAGGGACAGUUGGGGGCAUUCGUAUUUCAUUGUCAGAGGUGAAAUUCUUGGAUUUAUGAAAGACGAACUUCUGCGAAAGCAUUUGCCAAGGAUGUUUUCAUUA
rnacentral:rRNA from 1 species